rnacentral:rRNA from 1 species
GUGGGGAAUUUUGGACAAUGGGCGAAAGCCUGAUCCAGCCAUGCCGCGUGCAGGAUGAAGGCCUUCGGGUUGUAAACUGCUUUUGUACGGAACGAAAAGACUCCUUCUAAUAAAGGGGGUCCAUGACGGUACCGUAAGAAUAAGCACCGGCUAACUACGUGCCAGCAGCCGCGGUAAUACGUAGGGUGCAAGCGUUAAUCGGAAUUACUGGGCGUAAAGCGUGCGCAGGCGGUUAUAUAAGACAGAUGUGAAAUCCCCGGGCUCAACCUGGGAACUGCAUUUGUGACUGUAUAGCUAGAGUACGGUAGAGGGGGAUGGAAUUCCGCGUGUAGCAGUGAAAUGCGUAGAUAUGCGGAGGAACACCGAUGGCGAAGGCAAUCCCCUGGACCUGUACUGACGCUCAUGCACGAAAGCGUGGGGAGCAAACAGGAUUAGAAACCCCUGUUAGUCC